rnacentral:lncRNA from 1 species
UACUACUGAAAAUAACCUUACCUAAAAAAAAAAAAAAAAAAAAAAAUUCCAUGUCUUAUUUAGAAUACUCAAAUCAUGUUCUAGUUUUAAAUCAUAGUUAAGCACUUGAACUUUGUGUUCAAGUAAAAUAUUACUAUUUUUUCUUUCAACUCCUAAAGUUAAAAACCAGAUAAGAUGCAUUUUCUUACUCUUAAAUCAGUAUUUCUACCCAAAGGCGAAUUUUAAAAGCAAAGGCUUCUAGGAAUGGGUCCAUAAGUUGGCUUCAGAGGUGAGGAGCUCAGCAAACCCUUACUAGGUAUAUGUGCAGUUUUCUGCAGGGAGGUGCCCAGUUUUCAGAUUUAAAAUAAAGUCAUGAUCCCAAAAAGAUUAAAGGCUACUCUUUCAAGAAUUACUGAAAAUGCUUAGGCUUGAAAUAUUUUCCAUCUUACAUUUAAAAUAAUUAAAGUGUUUGGUUUUUAAAAAUUUAUCAAAAAAAAUCAGUGAUUUCAAAAUACGUAGGUAUUCUUUCAAAAGCAGGUUAAAUAAUCUGUAUUUAAAUAUUGAACUAUCCACUAAUAAACUUUGAAAUGUUUUAUGUUUUGGUAUGUUUUAUUUUUAGCAGUUACUUAAUUGAAAAUAUGAAAAGGUCUAUGUAUAAUGGCGUAGAGUUUUAAACAUCAAAAUAAGGUUUAGUAGGGUGUUCAACUUAAUAUCAAGCUUUAGAUAUUUUAAUUGUUCUUAAUUAGAAAAUAAUAUAAUUUUUUAUAAGUCCCAAUGACUUUAAUUUUUUUAUAUAACUACGUAAUGUGGUAUUGUUACAAACAUUCUAACAUUCUAAAAGGUAACAAAAAAUCUACGAAAAGAAUUGAAAUAAAUUAGUAUGCGAUAAGAGAACUUUCUAAUACUACUUAGAACUCCCCAC